rnacentral:rRNA from 1 species
UGCAUGAAGUCGGAAUUGCUAGUAAUCGCGGAUCAGCAUGCCGCGGUGAAUACGUUCCCGGGCCUUGUACACACCGCCCGUCACACCAUGGGAGCCGGUAAUACCCGAAGUCAGUAGUCCAACCUCGUGAGGACGCUGCCGAAGGUAGGAUUGGCGACUGGGGUGAAGUCGUAACAAGGUAGC